rnacentral:rRNA from 1 species
GCGAACGCUGGCGGCAGGCUUAACACAUGCAAGUCGAACGGGCACUUCGGUGCUAGUGGCAGACGGGUGAGUAACACGUGGGAACGUACCUUUCGGUUCGGAAUAAUUCAGGGAAACUUGGACUAAUACCGGAUAAGCCCUUCGGGGGAAAGAUUUAUCGCCGAUAGAUCGGCCCGCGUCUGAUUAGCUAGUUGGUGAGGUAAUGGCUCACCAAGGCGACGAUCAGUAGCUG